UACCCCUGGAAAGAUUGGACAACCCAGGGUUGCUGAGGAAAAGCCCCUGAACAGGCCCCUGACUGCAGGCAGCCCUGAGUGUCCUUGGCAAGGUAUACAGCUGCCCGGCUCCCCCCCUCAUUAGAGGCCAUCUAGAGGGACUGGGUGUGAAUCUUUGCAAAAGUAGAUGUAAGUUGGCAUAGUUGAACAAUAAGGGGAGAACAAUGCUUAAUCAUAUUGGUGUACAUGUCAUUUAUGCGGCCAGCUCUCCGGACUCGGUCCCUAACACCUGUCCUCCUCCUGUCCCCCUGUGCCCCUUUUCUUGGACAAGUCUCAAAUGGCAACACACAUUCCCAAAGACUGUCUGCUUCCUUAAAUCCACGGACCAGCUAGUGCUGUCACUCAACAGCUGAAAUGAGCUUUCAGAGCCUAGAAACUAGCAGGAGUGACAAACAAAGGGAUUUGAAUCUGGAAAUAGGUGAGUUCCACCCACCCACUGCUGCUGAUGCAGAGACGGGCUCAGGGCAUCUGCGCAGCCCUUCCCUUUGGCACUGAUCCUGCACUGGAAUGUUGUGUUGUUGCCAAACCGGGCCUCAAACCAGGAGAAGGUAAGCCCUGACCAUUUGCCCCUGACCCUGGCACACCCACAGUGUGUUAUCUGGAGCAUGUGCCUCAGCUGGUGUCACUUGAGUUUCACCAGAGUUGCAAGUUGGCUCCUGCUCUGGGCGAUUCCGAGUGACCAUCACAUCAGUUGUGCACUAAGCACCGUUUAGCCAGACCCAGAGAUUUGGCCACAUAGUGACUUCUGAACAGAAAAUCAAAAUGCAGGAAAAGUGCCAGGACCACGGACGGGCCUGGGUACAGCACGGUCUUUGUGGGUCACUGUCACUCCAGGCCCUUACAGUCUCUCCUCAUCUUUCUUGUAGGCUCCCUUCAGGUACAGGAGCCGUUGCUCACUGGUGUUUUUGACUAUUCUCUGCCAAGGAAAUGAGUUGAAUUUCCUUGUCAAAUCUAAUAGGCUUUUAUACUUGGGCUUCUCUGCUGUGGGAUUCAUACUCAGAGACUGGUGUUGGUGUCUGGACGCUUCCAGAAGGUGGAUGUUAUCCCUGGAUGUAUAAAGAAAACGCCUAUCCAUCAUCUCUCAGGCAAUGAGAGCGGUGCAGGUGUCUGGCAUGGCAGCCUUUCCACCAGUUCACUGGUUGAGCUGGUGCCAAGGGAGGCCGUAUGGAGCUGAUGACUUCCUGCCUGUGUUGACAUAGGCCCUAGCCCAGUGUGAUGAGCUGGAGACUGAAAUCGAAUACAUGACAGAGUGGCUGGAUCCAUCCUUGGUGUAUGGAGAAGCUAAAGGCUGAGAGGGGACACUGUCGGUAAUACAGAAAAUACUACCCUGUGUACAGAACGCAUCUCUGAACGCCUCUGAACAGACUGUGCUGCCUCUUAGCUGGACACUCCCACCCAAAUGGCUGACUUGGAAAAGAUAAGACAGACAGUGGGUCUCCUGUUGCUGCGGACCGUUACCUCCCGUCGAGACUCUUUUACUUUGUGACCUGCAGCUUCUUUUGUACAUUGCAACUCUGUUGUGGCUUUAAUUUGUUCUCUGUUUGUGUAAUAAAGGUGGAGUAUGCAGGACUGUA